GAUGAACGCUGGCGGCGUGCCUAAUACAUGCAAGUCGAGCGAACAGACGAGGAGCUUGCUCCUCUGACGUUAGCGGCGGACGGGUGAGUAACACGUGGAUAACCUACCUAUAAGACUGGGAUAACUUCGGGAAACCGGAGCUAAUACCGGAUAAUAUAUUGAACCGCAUGGUUCAAUAGUGAAAGACGGUUUUGCUGUCACUUAUAGAUGGAUCAGCGCCGCAUUAGCUAGUUGGUAAGGUAACGGCUUACCAAGGCAACGAUGCGUAGCCGACCUGAGAGGGUGAUCGGCCACACUGGAACUGAGACACGGUCCAGACUCCUACGGGAGGCAGCAGUAGGGAAUCUUCCGCAAUGGGCGAAAGCCUGACGGAGCCAUGCCGCGUGAGUGAUGAAGGUCUUCGGAUCGUAAAACUCUGUUAUUAGGGAAGAACAAAUGUGUAAGUAACUAUGCACGUCUUGACGGUACCUAAUCAGAAAGCCACGGCUAACUACGUG
rnacentral:rRNA from 1 species